rnacentral:rRNA from 1 species
GCUCACGGCCAUAGUCCUCAGGGUAAGACCCGGUCCCAUCAGAACCCGGAAGUGAAUCCUGAGGACGCCGUUCGUUGUACUACUCUCCGAAAGGGGGUGGGAAGCGGCGGUGCCGUGAGCC